UUUAACGGCCGCGGUAUCCUAACCGUGCAAAGGUAGCGCAAUCAAUUGUCCCGUAAAUCGGGACUUGUAUGAAUGGCUAAACGAGGUCUUAACUGUCUCUUACAGGCAAUCGGUGAAAUUGAUCUCCCUGUGCGAAAGCAGGGAUGCACACAUAAGACGAGAAGACCCUGUGGAACUUCAAAAACAGCGACCACCCCAAAAUACAUCUACCCCCACCCCGGGCUCACUUACCCUACGGGCUACUGGUUCGCAUUUUUUCGGUUGGGGCGACCUUGGAGCAAAACAGAACCUCCAAAAAUUAGACCAAACCUCUAGACUGAGAGCAACACCUCUACGUGCUAAUAGCAUCCAGACCCAAUAUAAUUGAUCAAUGGACCAAGCUACCCCAGGGAUAACAGCGCAAUCUCCUCCAAGAGUCCAUAUCGACGAGGAGGUUUACGACCUCGAUGUUGGAUCAGGACAUCCUAGUGGUGCAGCAGCUACUAA
rnacentral:rRNA from 1 species